rnacentral:misc_RNA from 1 species
GAUGAAGAACGUAGCGAAAUGCGAUAAGUAGUGUGAAUUGCAGAAUUCAGUGAAUCAUCGAAUCUUUGAACGCACAUUGCGCCCCCUGGUAUUCCGGGGGGCAUGCCUGUCCGAGCGUCAUUGCUGCCCUCAAGCACGGCUUGUGUGUUGGGCCCCGUCCUCCGAUUCCGGGGGACGGGCCCGAAAGGCAGCGGCGGCACCGCGUCCGGUCCUCGAGCGUAUGGGGCUUUGUCACCCGCUCUGUAGGCCCGGCCGGCGCUUGCCGAUCAACCCAAAUUUUUAUCCAGGUUGACCUCGGAUCAGGUAGGGAUACCCGCUGAACUUAAGCAUAUCAAUAAGCGGAGGA